ACAGACCUACGGGGGGCAGCAGUGGGGAAUUUUGGACAAUGGGCGCAAGCCUGAUCCAGCUAUUCCGCGUGUGGGAUGAAGGCCCUCGGGUUGUAAACCACUUUUGUAGAGAACGAAAAGACACCUUCGAAUAAAGGGUGUUGCUGACGGUACUCUAAGAAUAAGCACCGGCUAACUACGUGCCAGCAGCCGCGGUAAUACGUAGGGUGCGAGCGUCAAUCGGAAUUACUGGGCGUAAAGGGUGCGCAGGCGGUUGAGUAAGACAGAUGGGAAAUCCCCGAGCUGAACUCGG
rnacentral:rRNA from 1 species